rnacentral:rRNA from 1 species
UACGAAGGGGGCUAGCGUUGUUCGGAAUUACUGGGCGUAAAGCGUGCGCAGGCGGUUUUGUAAGUCUGUCGUGAAAUCCCCGGGCUCAACCUGGGAAUUGCGAUGGAGACUGCAUCGCUAGAAUCGUGGAGAGGUAAGUGGAAUUCCGAGUGUAGAGGUGAAAUUCGUAGAUAUUCGGAGGAACACCGGUGGCGAAGGCGGGGUCUCUGGGCCGAAACUGACGCUGAGGAGCGAAAGCGUGGGGAGCAAACAGG